rnacentral:rRNA from 1 species
CCUACGGGCGGCAGCAGUGGGGAAUAUUGGGCAAUGGAGGAAAGUCUGACCCAGCAACGCCGCGUGAAUGAUGAAGGCCUUCGGGUUGUAAAGUUCUUUUCUAAGGGAAGAAGAAAGUGACGGUACCUUAGGAAUAAGCCUCGGCUAACUACGUGCCAGCAGCCGCGGUAAUACGUAGGAGGCGAGCGUUAUCCGGAUUGAAUGGGCGUAAAGGGUGCGUAGGUGGUUUGGCAAGUUAGUAGGGUAACUCCAAGGCUCAACCUUGGAACUACUACUGAAACUGUUGGACUUGAGUGCAGGAGGGGCAGCCGGAAUUCCGGGUGUAGCGGUGGAAUGCGUAGAUAUUAGGAGGAACACCAGUGGCGAAGGCGGGUUGCUGGACUGUAACUGACACUGAGGCACGAAAGCGUGGGGAGCAAACAGGAUUAGAUACCCUGGUAGUC